rnacentral:misc_RNA from 1 species
UCUGUAUCCAAGUCUUUCUUAAGGAGACACUGGGAAGGUUACAAGGAGUUUUGGGGUGAGAGAUUCUCCUUUUUGGAUAACUAUUCAAGGUUCAUCAAACGCGAUAAGCCAUUACCCUCGUGGUCUGAAGCUGAUGUGGAGGAGUUCAUUGCUUUUGAGCCAGUUCAUGGACCAACACUGAAGACUGCUAGGGAAGCAGCAAAGUUUGGUGCUGUAGGAGGCCUACUUGGAGCUGUUUCAACUGCAGGAGUUACAUGGAAGUACUCAAGGAGUCUGCAUGGUACUGCAUUGUCCCUUGGAGCUGGAGCUGUCUUUGGCUGGACAUUCGGACAGGAAGUCGCCAACCACUGGCUGCAGCUAUACCGGAUGGAUACAAUGGCUUCACAGGUUAAGUUCAUGGAAUGGUGGCAGAACAAAGUUGAACGACAAUCUUAAUUUUCUCUCUUCCUGUACGAGAUUUGAAGAAACAAAACUCUGGAUUUGCUCGUUAGUGCGAUAACACAAACAUUUUGUUAUUGGCAAUAAAAAUUUGUGGACAGUGUUCAACUUGUAUCUGGUGACUUGAAAUUUUUGUGCUCUAGGUAGUGCUUUUGACUAUGAGAUUUUGAUGUUUGUUUGCCUACAAAAUGGCUGUAAUGAAAUGCAAUUUAUGGCUUUGAAGUUUA